rnacentral:lncRNA from 1 species
UUUUUUUUUUUUUUUUUUUGCAUCCUCCAAGUAAAGUGAAAUCAGUCAGCAUUAUGCCCCCUCCCCUCGACAAGUGAGGAUUACUUUCUCCUUGGGUAAACGAAGAGAACUCAUGCAGACGAACCAGAAGCUUAGAGAAGUUAACAUUCUUCAAGUUACCCAAACAGUGAAUGAGGGAGUCAGGAUUUGAAUCCUGAAAUCUAAUGCCAGAGUUUACAAGCCACGCUGGAAAUGAGGAUUAUCCUGAAUGAACAAAGAGUGCUUCUCCUCCUCAGGAGUUUGUUACAUAAACUUAAGAAUGAUAAACACAGAUGUCUUCCUAGAAAUAAAGUGCCAUAAAAUCAGACAGCUGGAAGGAACCUUUGAUAACAUCUCAUGAAAUCCAAUGCUGUCAUUCAUGCCUGGCGAUAAGGAACCUCAGGCUCAGAGAAGUUAAAUGAUUUCCACGAGGGCAUCCAGAUACUUAAAGGUAAGGAGCAAGUAUGGGGUUUACUGUAGCAGGUAUAUAGAGUUGACUACAACUCAGUUAUUUUAUUACAAACAAGAACCAUAUAAACCAAUCACACCCUAGCUUACCUAGCACAUAAAUGCAAUGUCCAGAAGGAAUAAACUAAACCAAAAGUCAAAAGGAAACAAAGUGUCCUUAGAUGAUAUUGCAGAACAAGUCUAGUUUCUUAUAGAUGAUGUAUCUCUCUUAUCUUUAUUUCAAAUGGUAUUUUACUUAACCUGGUAAUGAAGCUGCAAAAGUGUCUUUAUGUCAUCCCAAGAAGUAUAGAAGUAUAGAAGCCAAGGGCAGAAAUAAGGUGCCUGGAUAGAAAUAAUGUGUGUUAAGAGAAUAUUUUGUUAACAAUACUGUUCAUCUGCUUUUCUCCACUCUGGGUAUUGGAAUUAUUAGAAAUAAUAAUGCCUGGACAGAAAUAAGGUGUGUUAAGAGAAAUAUUUUGUUAACAAUACUCUUUAUCUGCUUUUCUCCACUCCGGGUAUUAGAAUUAUUAUUGGACAGAAAUAAGGUGUGUUAAGAGAAUAUUUUGUUAACAAUACUGUUUAUCUGCUGUUCUCCACUCUGGGUAUUGGAAUUAUUAUUUUAAAACUCAGAUGGGGCCCACCCUGCCCAGCUAAGGAUUAUUUAACUCAGGAUUUUGUAAGACUAGUAAUGGAUGUGUUGAGAAUGACUAAACACAUGCUAGAACGAGAAGUAUCUACCUUUUAAUAUAUCUUUUAAUAUGUACCAGAACUGAUAACGUCCUUAACUUUUGGGACCUUUUUGAAAAUCUGAUGAAAAAUUUGGAUCUGCCUUCCAGAAAUAUUUAAAUACACAAGAAGUUUUAGUUCCGUAGACCCAAAGUCCAUCAGGAGAGCUCAAGGUAAGGCCCUCUGCCAUAUAAUCAGUUCUGAUAGCAUCUUUCAAUUUCUCUUUCACCCAUUUUGGCUAAAGGAUUAGUCUCUGUUCUGGUCCAACUUGCAUAUUUUCCUGCAAUUUCCUUCCUGCUUGAUCACACUUCUUUUCUGGAAUUUCACUCUCUAGUUUCAGGACCUUAAUAUUUAUUGUUAGUUUCUAUAUUUUUAAAAACUCGGAGUUCCUGUUGUGGCUCAUAACAAGGAACCAUGGUUGCCGGUUCAAUCCCUGGCCUCUCUCAGUGGGUUAAGGAUCGAGCAUUGCUGUGAGCUGUGGUGCAGGCCGACAGCUACAGCUCCAAUGAUCCCUAGCCUGGAACCUCCAUGUGCCAUGGGUGCCACCCUAGAAAGGACAGAAAGACAGAAAAAAAAAAAAAAA